rnacentral:rRNA from 1 species
UACGAAGGGGGCUAGCGUUGCUCGGAAUCACUGGGCGUAAAGGGUGCGUAGGCGGGUCUUAAGUCAGGGGUGAAAUCCUGGAGCUCAACUCCAGAACUGCCUUUGAUACUGAGGAUCUUGAGUUCGGGAGAGGUGAGUGGAACUGCGAGUGUAGAGGUGAAAUUCGUAGAUAUUCGCAAGAACACCAGUGGCGAAGGCGGCUCACUGGCCCGAUACUGACGCUGAGGCACGAAAGCGUGGG